rnacentral:rRNA from 1 species
AGAGUUUGAUCAUGGCUCAGAACGAACGCUGGCGGCAGGCUUAACACAUGCAAGUCGAACGCCCCGCAAGGGGAGUGGCAGACGGGUGAGUAACGCGUGGGAACAUACCCUUCGGUUCGGAAUAGCUCAGGGAAACUUGAAUUAAUACCGGAUACGUCCGCGAGGAGAAAGAUUCAUCGCCGGAGGAUUGGCCCGCGUCUGAUUAGCUAGUUGGUGAGGUAACGGCUCACCAAGGCGACGAUCAGUAGCUGGUCUGAGAGGAUGAUCAGCCACACUGGGACUGAGACACGGCCCAGACUCCUACGGGAGGCAGCAGUGGGGAAUAUUGGACAAUGGGCGCAAGCCUGAUCCAGCCAUGCCGCGUGAGUGAUGAAGGCCUUAGGGUUGUAAAGCUCUUUUACCCGGGAAGAUAAUGACGGUACCGGGAGAAUAAGCCCCGGCUAACUUCGUGCCAGCAGCCGCGGUAAUACGAAGGGGGCUAGCGUUGUUCGGAAUCACUGGGCGUAAAGCGCACGUAGGCGGAUCCUUAAGUCAGGGGUGAAAUGCCGGGGCUCAACCUCGGAACUGCCUUUGAUACUGGGGAUCUUGAGUUCGGGAGAGGUGAGUGGAACUGCGAGUGUAGAGGUGAAAUUCGUAGAUAUUCGCAAGAACACCAGUGGCGAAGGCGGCUCACUGGCCCGAUACUGACGCUGAGGUGCGAAAGCGUGGGGAGCAAACAGGAUUAGAUACCCCCGUAGUCC